rnacentral:rRNA from 1 species
CCUACGGGAGGCAGCAGUGGGGAAUCUUGCGCAAUGGGCGAAAGCCUGACGCAGCAACGCCGCGUGUGUGAUGAAGGUCUUCGGAUCGUAAAGCACUGUCGGGAGGGACGAAUAAGGGUCCGUCUAACAAGCGGACCCGAUGACGGUACCUCCAAAGGAAGCACCGGCUAACUCUGUGCCAGCAGCCGCGGUAAUACAGAGGGUGCAAGCGUUGUUCGGAAUUAUUGGGCGUAAAGCGCGUGUAGGCGGCCAAGCAAGUCAGGUGUGAAAGCCCUCGGCUUAACCGAGGAAGUGCGCCUGAAACUACUCGGCUUGAGUACCGGAGAGGAUGGUGGAAUUCCCGGUGUAGAGGUGAAAUUCGUAGAUAUCGGGAGGAACACCAGCGGCGAAGGCGACCAUCUGGACGGAUACUGACGCUGAGACGCGAAAGCGUGGGGAGCAAACAGGAUUAGAUACCCUGGUAGUCCACGCUGUAAACGAUGAGCGCUAGGUGUUGCGGGUGUUGACCCCUGCAGUGCCGCAGCUAACGCAUUAAGCGCUCCGCCUGGGAAGUACGGCCGCAAGGCUAAAACUCAAAGGAAUUGACGG